AGCUCCAAUAGCGUAUAUUAAAGUUGCUGCAGUUAAAAAGCUCGUAGUUGGAUCUCGGGGUACCUGGUCUAGCCGGUAUAGCUCACGCUAAAACUGGUCUGACCCCCCAACGUGAGGUAUUCGUCUCCGGGUGCACUUCAUUGGGUGCUCGUGAGGGGCCUCGUAGUUACUGUGAAAAAAUUAGAGUGUUCAAAGCAGGCUCAUAUGUUCGGAUAGUCGUGCAUGGAAUAAUGAAAUCCGUGACGGGGGCUUUUCAGUUGGUCUGGGGGACGGGUAAAAGGAUUAAGAGGGACGGCCGGGGGAAUGGUAUGGCGGGGUUAGAGGUGAAAUUCUUGGAUCCUCGCCAGACCAACAAAAGCGAAAGCAUUUGCCAAGAAUGUCUUCA
rnacentral:rRNA from 1 species